rnacentral:rRNA from 1 species
AGAGAGAGACAUGCGCGCAUAUCAAUAAGCGGAGGAAAAGAAACUAACAAGGAUUCCCUUAGUAACGGCGAGUGAAGCGGGAAGAGCUCAAAUUUGAAAUCUUCAAGGUUUUACCUUGACGAAUUGUAGUUUAAAGAAGUGUUUUCUGCUGAAGUUUUGGUAAAAGUUCUUUGGAAUAGGACAUCAUAGAGGGUGAGAAUCCCGUAUUUGACCAUUAUUUUCAGCUUUGUGAUACACUUUCAGAGAGUCGGAUUGUUUGGGAAUGCAGUCCAAAAUGGGUGGUAAAUUUCAUCUAAAGCUAAAUAUUGGCGAGAGACCGAUAGCGAACAAGUACCGUGAGGGAAAGGAUGAAAAGAACUUUGAAAAGAGAGUUAAACAGUACGUGAAAUUGUCAAAAGGGAAGCGUUUGACACCAGUGUUGUUUUCUCGAAAAUCAAUUAAAAAUGGCUCGAUUUUGUAUUGUUGAGACCUUAAAAGCUCACUGUACAUUUUUCGUGUCUUUUUUAAUGCACUUUUCGUUUAACAAGUCAACAUCAGUUUCUUUUGUUGUAAAAGGGUCAUUGGAAGGUGGCUUUCUUUUCGGAGAAAGUGUUUAUAGCCUUUGGCCUCUGCAAUCGGAAGAGACUGAGGUCUGCAGCGUAGACUCUUCGGGGUUAGAUACAUUUGUGCUAAGUUAUAGCUUUUUAUAGACAACUUGUUGACUAUAAUUAGUCUUGUAGCUUACUCGCUUAUGCUAUUUUACCUACGCUUAGGAUGUUGAAGUCAUCGUAUCGCGC